GAUGAAGAACGCAGCGAAAUGCGAUAAGUAGUGUGAAUUGCAGAAUUCAGUGAAUCAUCGAAUCUUUGAACGCACAUUGCGCCCUUUGGUAUUCCUUAGGGCAUGCCUGUUCGAGCGUCAUUUAAACCUUCAAGCUAAGCUUGGUGUUGGGUGACUGUCCGCUUCACGGCGGACUCGCCUCAAAAUUAUUGGCGGCCGGUACAUUGGCUUCGAGCGCAGCAGAAACGCGAACUCGGGCCCGUCGUAUUGGCUCCCAGAAGCUAUCUUCAAAAUUUUGACCUCGGAUCAGGUAGGGAUACCCGCUGAACUUAAGCAUAUCAAUAAGCGGAGGA
rnacentral:misc_RNA from 1 species